GACCUGAUGGUGUACCGGUAACACAUCUGCUUCACUUCAGAGGAUGCGUGAAGUGUUUCAGCAGAAGAACCUCGUUCGUUUCGGGGUCAGGUCU